CGGUGCAAUCAUACCAGCACUAACGUACCAGAUUCCAUCAAAACUCCACAAUUAAGCAUGCUUGGGUAAGAGUAGUACUAAGAUGGGUGACCCCCUGGGAAGUCCACGUGUUGCACCCC